AGUUAUUUUCUUUAAACCCAAAGAAUUUGGCGGUGUUUUAGUCUAUUUAGAGGAACUUGUCCCAUUAUCGAUAAUCCUCGUUGUAUCUUUCUUUUAAUUGUUAAACAGUAUGUAUACCGCCGUUAUAAGUUUAUAUUUAUAGAUUGAUUAAUUUACUUUUUACUUUAUUAGGUAAUAUUUCAGGUCAAGGUGCAGCUUAUUUAAAAGUGUUGAUGAGUUACAUUAUUUUAUAAAUUAUUUUGGAGUUAAUUAUGAAAUAUUGAUUAAUGAAAUUGGAUUUAAUUGUAAUUUUAUUUAUAUUGGUUUUUUGAUUAUAAAGCUCUGGAAUGAGUACACAUCGCCCGGUCGCUCUA
rnacentral:rRNA from 1 species